rnacentral:rRNA from 1 species
CCUACGGGUGGCAGCAGUGAGGAAUAUUGGUCAAUGGCCGGAAGGCUGAACCAGCCAUGCCGCGUGAAGGUCAGUGCCCUAUGGGCGUUAAACUUCUUUUGUGCGGGAGCAAUAAUGGUCACGUGUGGCCAGACGAGAGUACCGUACGAAUAAGCAUCGGCUAACUCCGUGCCAGCAGCCGCGGUAAUACGGGGGAUGCAAGCGGUAUCCGGAUUUAAUGGGUUUAAAGGGUGCGUAGGCUGGGAGGUAAGUCAGCGGUGAAAUGCCCCCGCUCAACGGGGUGAAGUGCCAUUGAUACUGGCAUGCUGGAAUGCGGAUGCCGUGGGAGGAAUGUGUGGGGUAGCGGUGAAAUGCGUAGAUAUCACACAGAACACCGAUUGCGAAGGCAUCUCACGAAUCCGCGAUUGACGCUGAUGCACGAAAGCGUGGGUAUCAAACAGGAUUAGAUACCCUUGUAGUC